rnacentral:lncRNA from 1 species
UUCUUCUUUAUUCUAGUUUUCUCUUUUUUUGUGAAUAAUUGUUUUUUUCUAGUGAUGCUGGAUGUAUGACUGGGAAGCAUUGGGAGAUGGAUAUGUGCUCUGUUUUUCUGUGUGUCAAGUGGACUUUCGUCAAGCAGUACGAUGAAGGUGGUUAGAGGCUCAGAGUGACAUCUACUCAAGAUACACUUACGAAUAUGCUGAUGUAUGGUGGAUGCUAUAUCUACUGAAAUUGACAAGUUCUCCCUUCCCUGAGCAGUCAGUAAGUAUGGCAUUUGACAAGGAUGCGACAUCCAUACUAGUUGUAUAGAUCUCGGCUUUACUAGUCAAUUCUCUGUCGACGAGGUCAGAUGCCCUAACCAACUAGUCAUGUAAACCAUCUACAACCCCCUGCUUAUUUUAGCAACAACGAGAACAGAAAACAAGUUCAAGAGAAAAUCAUGGUAGCAUUGGCACCGUGGGCAAGGCAUCGUUGUCCCAUGUGAGGUGGUAGUGACUACGAUACUAACUGAAACUAAGUGUUAACAUCAGAUUUUAGCAAAUCGCCGCUAUGGAUUAAUCUGUGAAUAAAGACCGAAUCAGAUAAGAAACAGGGCAAUCAGAUAGGAGACCAGGCAGAAUACGACUCGCAUUCAGCCAAUGGAGUCCGGAUUGGAUAAUAGAUAGAGUCCGAUUAGGCCUAGAAUGUUACAGAUAAAUUCAGAAAUAAUCAGAGUCCGUGUAAUUUAAUUAUAUCUAUUAGUUAGAGUUAGUUUAGAUUUUUCAUUUACCUCUAAGGGAGUUACAGUCCGAUCGG